AUGCUCCAGAUUGAACGCUGGCGGCAGGCUUAACACAUGCAAGUCGAACGGUAGCAGGUAAGUACUUGUACUUAUGCUGACGAGUGGCGGACGGGUGAGUAAUGCUUGGGGAUCUGGCUUAUGGAGGGGGAUAACGACGGGAAACUGUCGCUAAUACCGCGUAGAAUCGGGAGAUGAAAGUGUGGGACCUUCGGGCCACAUGCCAUAGGAUGAGCCCAAGUGGGAUUAGGUAGUUGGUGGGGUAAUGGCCUACCAAGCCGACGAUCUCUAGCUGGUCUGAGAGGAUGACCAGCCACACCGGGACUGAGACACGGCCCGGACUCCUACGGGAGGCAGCAGUGGGGAAUAUUGCGCAAUGGGGGCAACCCUGACGCAGCCAUGCCGCGUGAAUGAAGAAGGCCUUCGGGUUGUAAAGUUCUUUCGGUGACGAGGAAGGUUGUUGUGUUAAUAGCGCAACAAAUUGACGUUAAUCACAGAAGAAGCACCGGCUAACUCCGUGCCAGCAGCCGCGGUAAUACGGAGGGUGCGAGCGUUAAUCGGAAUAACUGGGCGUAAAGGGCACGCAGGCGGACUUUUAAGUGAGGUGUGAAAUCCCCGGGCUUAACCUGGGAAUUGCAUUUCAGACUGGGGGUCUAGAGUACUUUAGGGAGGGGUAGAAUUCCACGUGUAGCGGUGAAAUGCGUAGAGAUGUGGAGGAAUACCGAAGGCGAAGGCAGCCCCUUGGGAAUGUACUGACGCUCAUGUGCGAACAGUCGUGGGGAGCAAACA
rnacentral:rRNA from 1 species